GGGAGCAGCACAUGGAUGUCGAUUUUUUGGCACCUCUGCUAUCAUGAAACUAGUAUGGAUAGGUUCAGGCACACUUUUGCUCGUUUUCGGCACGAGGAGGAAGAAGAUGAUUUAAUUUCUUUGAGGGUAAGGAUGAUGAUGCUGAUAGUCCAUAUGUUGAAGCCCUGCUGACACAGCAGCCUAAGAAUGUCGGAAGUGUAUCGUUCUGUGAUGAUUCUGCCAACAAACAAAGGAAGAACAAGGAAGAAGAGAAUUCUUGUCCUGUUGCAGUGCAGUUGCCAUCUGAAGAAGGCGAUCAAGAGCUGAAGCAACAUGGAGCAUCCCGGCCAUCCUUGAAUUCUCCUGGCAGCAGGAGGCACAGGCGCAGAGGUAACAGAAAGAAGGGGGAAGAUGGUUCUGCUUCGAGUCCUAUUGAAGCUCAUGUGCCAUCUGAAAAAACGAAGCAAAACAAGUCAAAUUCUCCUGGCAAUAGAAGGCACAGGUGUCGUGGUAACAGCAAGGAGUUGCAUGAUUCUGCUCUGAGUCCUGAUGAAGCUCAUGUGCCAUCUGAAAAAGGGAAGCAAAAGAAGAAGUGGAAUUCUCCUGGCAACAGAAGGACCAAAAGUCCUGGUAACAGGAAGAAGUCAAAUUCUCCUGGCAACAGAAGGACCAACAGUCCUGGUAACAGGAAGAAGGAAGAAGAUGAUUUAAUUUCUUUGAAAGGACUAAUCCUGUGAGGAUGCUGUACAAGAAAAUAGGAGCAAUAUGGAUCUCAAAACUGAAGAAAAGCAGGCCACCUGAGUGGCUCUGUGCUCAGAAAAGAGGAUUGCUUACUGUUUCACAAAAAUAGGAUUUUUCUAAGCCAUCCUCUGUCUAUUAGGCCUUUUUCUAAGCCAGUCAAAAUUACCAGGAUAAAAUCAGGGAUUAAAUGAGCGUUGGUUUGAACUCGACAAAUAUUUUUUAUCAGUUAACCAUGUUAUGUAGCUACUGCAUUGUCUUGCCGAUAAUCAUCUUCACACACUAGAUAUCAAUUUAUAUGUGUGAUUUCAUUUGAAUCUUGUAAGCCAUAAAAUUAUUUUUGGCAUCAUCUGGUAGCCGGAAAAAUGUUUAGUGUUUACUCACUCAAUGUGGGUUGGGUCCUAUCUUGCUUUUGUUUACUAUACUCCUACUUGUUUAUGUUAGCAAUUAGAAAACCUAAGAUUUAGGGCCCAAAUCCAGGCCCCACGACUAAUUUGUUAAUGCAUUAACCAAAUGUGAAAUGUGGCAGCAUCAGCAUGAGUAUCGGGGGCCAUCCUCCUUGGAAUUUUGUCACUCUGUUUUUCUUGCUGGUCAAAGUGCGAGUACUGACAGGGGUUUUUGUUCUUAGAUUUGGCCACCGGAGAGGAUUGGUUCGAUUGGUUCAAAGGAGUAGGACACGGAGCGUGGCCUCCGAACAUUCAGCAAAAGAGGGACAUUGUGAAUUUACUAGAUUGCGACAAGUCUACACAGGGAAUAGGCCGAGUUUGCAAUGAGCAGCUUGCAGAGCUACUAUGGCCUGAGUUCUCAAAGAGGAGAUGGCAUGGAUUUAAGUACAUUAAUGUCCUUGUACAGCAAGGGAAGCUCCCAAGGUAUUGGAAGUGAAAUACUCCCAAAUUCUUCUUCUCCGCCUGACAGUACACAAAGCAUUGGAAGAGGCAACUGGGCGACCAAAGAAUUAGUUCAUUGGUUCCAUACGCCAUGGCAGAAAGUGGAGGCCGAUCCCCAGGAUGACCCUUUCUGCCGGAUUCAAUUAAGAUGACGAAAAGUUUUUUGCCAAGGCCUUUUUUCCAGUAUGCGUUUGAAUAUGGACACAGACUCAAAGAACGGUGGGAUCUUUAUGUGGUCGGGCUCCAAGUGGACCUUCAACCAUGAGUCCUUCACCUGUCCGUUGCUCGACGGUCUGCCCAAACCUGUGCCGGGUCGUAGGAUGAAAGCUGCUUUUACUGAGUUCUACUCAAUGUAGCGGCGCAAUAGGAGUUAUUUUUGUAUUACCGCUCUGCUAUUGCAAGCUUCAUCUGGAUCUGUUAUGUCAUCCAUAUGAGCUAAGUUGAGAGGGAAAUGGAAGAGGAGGCUUGGUUCGACAUGAUCUUCUGUCACGUCAAUCCUUGUUCCUCAGAGCGGCGAUCACACAACGGACGGGAUUAUGGAGUCGUCAAACGACAUUACAGUUGCAUCAAAGAUAGAAAGAAUCCUCAAGAUCCUGGUGCAUUCUUUUUUGCUGUCGAAACUAAAGAAAGAAAGUGCCAGAACAACAUCCUGUGUUCAUUUUCUUUUUAAUUUUCUUCCACGAGAAUCAUGGUUCUGUAAACACAGCAGCAGUUUCAAAAUGGCUCAAAAAGUACAAUGCAUUCUUUGUCAUGUAACAGCGUUCCUAAGCUAUUAUUGAAUGAUCACGGUUUUUUUCAACACGUCCUGGACUUUACAUUUGAU
rnacentral:rRNA from 1 species